AUUGAGGAGUUGGCGUGCGGUGGGACCGCAGACCCGCGGACAUCUGCGAACGUCUCUCCGGCGCGGACUGACGGAAACAUGGCUGCCAAUUUGCACCAAGAACCUCUCUGCAUGACCAUUUAUAUACCAGUGUGGGCGGCACUGGAGGCAAGAGGCGGAAUCCCCAAAAGCGCGGCGAGUUUAAAGCCCCAAAAAGAAGAGAAAGCGGCGGUAGACGGGCCUCUGACUCACUGGCGACAGUCUGGUAAAGGCAUCUAAACAGAAACUUGCUGUCGUUGUUCAUAGAAAGACUGGAACGAUUCAGAAGUGGCCGACUGGACAGUACAGUGUUCUGCACUGUGAUUGGUGGAUUCGGGCGACUGCGAGCUGAUGAACGACUGCCAGCAAGAGAGCCUCGUUAGGCGUUUAGAACGAUCACAAGCGCGACGCUUGUAAAAAGCGUGACAGACCUCUGGAUCCCACCGCAGAUAUCACUCUCGCUGCCCGACUAGUUCUGUUUUUGGUUUUUGGUUUUUGGGGGGGGUGGAGGGGGUCAGGAACUUGGCCUGAUUCAGCACUUUCUUUUUUUCCCCCCUUUCUCGAAGAAGAAAAGUGGCACACUGCGACGCUCGAGCAAGCCGCUGACCAGAGAAGCCACAACGCCUUCGCGACGACAGAGUGGCUCAACCUGUUUUCUCCAAGGUGUGCGCUCCGUCGACCUUAUUAGGUCGCACGUCAACCCGACACACACACACACACACACACACACACAGUGUAAAGAUGCCCUUUAAUUACCUGAUUGAGUUUAACCAGCUCAGCCACAUAAUUGUCUGAUGGGUCACAAUAUUAGGUACCCCAACCUGCCUUUCACCCACACCUAUAACGCUUAUCGUGCACUUUUACGAGCGCGUCUGCAGCUGCGGUUGCCGUUGGACGUCCCGAAUCGUCCCCAAAUAUUAGCAACGCUUCACUCGGGCGGCGUGGCACAGAUGGUAGAGCGGCCGGCCAGGAACUCGAGGGUUCGAUUCCUGCUCCCGCCACCCUAGUGACUGCUCCCAGCAGGCACAAGACGUUGAAACGACGUUGAGAACUCGUUCAAUUAGCUACUUAAACGUAACGUUGAAUCAACAUGCCUUUUGACGACGUUUAAUCAAUGUCAGGUUGUGGCGUUGAUUUGAUCAUUGAAAGUUGGGUCAUUUUUCAACCAAUAUUCUACAACACAAAUACAACGUUGAUACAACAUGCUUUUUGACGAUAUUUAAUCAAUGUUGGGUUCUUGCGUUGACUUGACCAUUGAAAUCGUGGUCAUUUUUCAACCAAUAUUCUACAACACAAAUACAUUGUUGAAACAACAUGCUUUUUGACGACGUUUAAUCAAUGUUAGGUUCUUGCGUUGAAUUUUGGUAAUUUUUCAACCAAUAUUCUACAACACAAAUACAACGUUGAAACAACAUGCUUUUUGAUUACGUUUUAUCAAUGUUGGGUUCUUGCGUUGAAUUUUGGUAAUUUUUCAACCAAUAUUCUACAACACAAAUACAACGUUGAAACAACAUGCCUUUUGACGACGUUUAAUCAAUGUUGGGUUUUUGCGUUGAUUUGACCAUUGAAAUGUUGGUAAUUUUUCGACCAAUAGUCUACAACACAAAUACAACGUUGAAACAACAUGCUUUUUGAUGACGUUUUAUCAAUGUUGGGUUCUUGCGUUGAGUUUUGGUCAUUUUUCAACCAAUAUUCUAUAACACAAAUACAACAUUGAAACAACAUGCUUUUUGACGACGUUUAAUCAAUGUUGGGUUCUUGCGUUGAUUUGAACGUUGAAAUUAUGGUCAUUUUUCAACCAAUAUUCUACAACACAAAUACAACGUUGAAACAACGUGCUUUUUGAUGACGUUUAAUCAAUGUUGGGUUCUUACGUUGAUUUGACCAUUGAUAUUUUGGUCAUUUUUCAACCAAUAUUCUACAACACAAAUACAACGUUGAAACAACAUGCUUUUUGACGAUGUUUUAGCAAGGUUGGGUUCUUGCGUUGAAUUUUGGUCAUUUUUCAACCAAUAUUCUACAACACAAAUACAACGUUGAAACAACAUGCUUUUUAACGACUUUUAAUCAAUGUUGGGUUCUUGCGUUGAUUUGACCGUUGAAUUUUGGUCAUUUCUCAACCAAUAUUCUACAACACAAAUACAACGUUGAAACAACAUGCUUUUUGACUACGUUUAAUCAAUGUUGGGUUCUUGCGUUGAGUUUUGGUCAUUUUUCAACCAAUAUUCUACAACACAAAUACAACAUUGAUACAACAUGCCUUUUGACGAUGUUUAAUCAAUGUUGGGUUCUUGCGUUGAUUUGACCAUUGAAAUUGUGGUCAUUUUUCGACCAAUAUUCUACAACACAAAUUCAACGUUGAAACAACAUGCUUUUUGACGACGUUUAUUCAAUGUCAGGUUGUGACGUUGAUUUGACCAUUGAAGUUGUGGUCAUUUUUCAACCAAUAUUCUACAACACAAAUACAACGUUGGGUUCUCGCGUUGAUUUGACCAUUGAAAUGUUGGCCAUUUCCCAACCAAUAUUCUACAACGUUGCAACGACAUGCUUUUUGACGACGUUUACUCAACGUCAGGUUGUGACGUCGAUUUGACCCGUGAAAUGUUGACACUUUUCAAUCAACAACGCGGAUCCGACGUUUGGACAUCAACGUUGCCUCAAUUUACAAACUAUUUUUACAACGUUGUUUCAAAGGUCAGUUUUUAAAGGACACGUACGUACGAUCAACGUUGUAUCAACGUCCCGUGCCUGCGGGGGCUGUCGAGACACCUCACCCGCCUUGUGCCGCCAACGCUGGUGCAAAUGUAAAUAACUUAAUAGCAGUAAUAAACAUGAGGCGGUUCGAACCUUUUGUUUUCAUGAGAUCAUUUUAAAUAUCUCUCCACUUGCAGUUAGUCAAGUAUUGAAAAGGAACGUAUCAUCUUGCAGAAAUCCUUUUUUUUUCUUUCUUUCGUGGCCCAUUUUUUUUCUAUUUGAAUGCCAUCAUUUCUAUUUACCAUUAAGCCCGCCAUUCAUAGCCGGCUCUUAAGUUUUUAAUUCCUAUUUGUAUCUCUCGCUUUAUGAAAUAUUCAAUCCCUGCAGCAGCCACUUUGGAGUCCAUGUGGGUUUUAAGUGAUUCGGAAGGUCUGCACAUUUUGCCUUUUAAUUUAUUUA